UACAGAGGUCUCAAGCGUUGUUCGGAUUCAUUGGGCGUAAAGGGUGCGUAGGCGGCGCGGUAAGUCGGGUGUGAAAUCUUGGAGCUUAACUCCGAAACUGCAUUCGAUACUGCCGUGCUUGAGGACUGGAGAGGAGACUGGAAUUUACGGUGUAGCGGUGAAAUGCGUAGAUAUCUGCAGGAACACCCGUGGCGAAAGCGGCGCGCUGGACCACUACUGACGCUGAGGAACGAAAGCUAGGGGAGCAAACAGG
rnacentral:rRNA from 1 species